rnacentral:rRNA from 1 species
CAAGUCGAACGGUAACAUAAGAAAAGCUUGCUUUUCUUGAUGACGAGUGGCGGACGGGUGAGUAAGAUUUGGGAAACUACCUGAUAGAGGGGGACAACAGUUGGAAACGACUGCUAAUACCGCAUACAGCCUCAGGGUGAAAGAAGCGAUUCGCUAUCAGAUGUGCCCAAACGGGAUUAGCUAGUUGGUGAGGUAACGGCCCACCAAGGCGACGAUGCAUAGCCGGCCUGAGAAGGCGGACGGCCACAUUGGGACUGAGACACGGCCCAAACUCC